rnacentral:rRNA from 1 species
CAUGCAAGUCGAACGGAAAGUGCCCAGCUUGCUGGGUGACUCGAGUGGCGAACGGGUGAGUAACACGUGGGUGAUCUGCCCUGCACUUUGGGAUAAGCCUGGGAAACUGGGUCUAAUACCGAAUACACCCUGCUGGUCGCAUGGCCUGGUGGGGGAAAGCUUUUGCGGUGUGGGAUGGGCCCGCGGCCUAUCAGCUUGUUGGUGGGGUGAUGGCCUACCAAGGCGACGACGGGUAGCCGGCCUGAGAGGGUGUCCGGCCACACUGGGACUGAGAUACGGCCCAGACUCCUACGGGAGGCAGCAGUGGGGAAUAUUGCACAAUGGGCGCAAGCCUGAUGCAGCGACGCCGCGUGAGGGAUGACGGCCUUCGGGUUGUAAACCUCUUUCAAUAGGGACGAAGCGCAAGUGACGGUACCUAGAGAAGAAGCACCGGCCAACUACGUGCCAGCAGCCGCGGUAAUACGUAGGGUGCGAGCGUUGUCCGGAAUUACUGGGCGUAAAGAGCUCGUAGGUGGUUUGUCGCGUUGUUCGUGAAAACUCACA